AGUCUUCUUUGUAGUACAAACAGUCAUGCUGCCCUCAAUCAGGUCCAGGGUUGCAUUAACGUGAUGUUCAUUCAAAGCCUUCUGCACCAAAGGCCAACACUCUUUCAGGUAGGCCUCUCUAUAUUUAGGGAACAAAGUUGCAAAACUGCUCUCCUCCAAGAGUCCUCUGGGAUUGUCCUCUUUAGAAAAAGCUGGUUCCUUCCAACCAUCAGGAACAGUGAGGGGUUCUGAUUCAUCUUGGUUCUCUGGCUUCGGUUUCUGGCUGCGAAAUUCAUUUUCCUCAGGUGCUGCAGUUGUCCCGUUCUUCGAGGAGGACGCCAUUUUCAAACUGCUUCCCUUGGGUUAGUAAUUAUGCCUCCGUGUUCAUCCGGCUGAAAAAGAGCUUGGACCAUCCAGGGGCCUAAUGUCUCCUAUGAGCUGAGGAGCUUAGUUGUUGGAUGAUGAAAGAGGUAGUUGAAUCUGGAAUGUGUGAUGCUGGGAUUAAUGGCGUGUGAUUACUAAACCACUACAUCAACAAGAGAAAAGUAACUAACACAGAGGCCCUCUCUCAAAAAACCAAAACAGAAAAAACAAG
rnacentral:lncRNA from 1 species